UACGUAGGGGGCAAGCGUUAUCCGGAAUUACUGGGUGUAAAGGGCGCGUAGGCGGUUAUUUAAGUUAGAUGUGAAAUCCCAAGGCUCAACUUUGGAACUGCAUCUAAAACUGGGUAACUAGAGUGUGGGAGAGGAAAGCGGAAUUCUCAGUGUAGCGGUGAAAUGCGUAGAUAUUGAGAGGAACACCGGUGGCGAAGGCGGCUUUCUGGACCAUAACUGACGCUGAGGCGCGAAAGCGUGGGGAGCAAACAGG
rnacentral:rRNA from 1 species